ACGGGGACCCACCAGCUUGUCUGCCGCCAUCUGGGGUACAGUGCUGGAAGCGGGGAUACAGGGACAAAUAAGACACAGAUCCUGUUCCUAAAGAGUUUUUUGAGAUGAAGUCUCGUUCUUGUCCCCCAGGCUGGAGUGCAAUGGCAUGAUCUCAGCUCACUGCAACCUCUGCCUCCCGGGUUCAAGCAAUUCUCCUGUCUCAGCCUCCUGAGUAGCUGGAUUACAGAGUCUUUUCUAAGGCACCAACUACUUCCUUCAAGCAGCAGCCAGAGAUCUUUGCUUAAUGGCUGAGAAACACAGAGGAGAGACCCAGAGAGAAGGAGAAGGCCGCAUGAAGAUGGAGCAGAGACUGGAGUUAUUCAGCCAAGUCAAGGAAUGCCUGGAGCACCAGAAGCCGGAAGAGGCAAGGAAGGAUCCUCCCUUAGAGCAUUUGGAAGAGUGUGGCCCUGCCAACACCUUGACUUCAAACUUCUGGCCUCCAUAACUAUGAAAUAAAUUCUUGUUGUUUUAAGCCA